rnacentral:ncRNA from 2 species
CCCUUAUUCAGAGUGAUGGAGAUACAUAGGAUCUGUGAAGUCACGGCAACCCCUUACAAAAGGAAGGUGCCAACCUGAGCGAAGUAGUCGAACAAUAAGAG